CCCACCCGCUCCUUGCCCUCGGUCCUCUUCCUGGCGCCCCCGCAAGGCAAAUCGGGAUGGCUUGGGAGAGACUCCGAGCGACACUCAGGCAGUCCGCGCUGGCUCUCGACUAGCUGGCGGCCGGCACCGCGCGGCUUCGUUUAAACUGAGCCUGGGCCAAUCGGCUUCGUGGGCGGGGCCGGGGACUGUCGCAGCGGGCGAGCAGAGGACCAGUUCCAUCUGCAAUUCACCUGUAUGGGAGCUGGCCAGGAGUAACCUUUCCAGCGACAAGUGGAUUUUUCCAUGACUUGGGGCUACGUGGAAGUAAAUUCCAUUGAGAUCAAUGGGAUCUACUUUCAAGUUAAGGGCGAUUGGGCUCCGAAUGAGAGGGACCCGAAAGUGACUCGUUACAGAUUCAGCGCCCUAGGAUGAAAGGCAGAGAAAGGCGUCUUUCGAACUCGGCUCAGAACUUUCGAGCGAACUCUUGGCAGAGAUCCUCUGGGACUUCAAGGAUCUGGAGUGACAGAAGGGGAUGCGGAUCUCGGGAGAGCUUCUUAGCCAGAUGGAUAGCAGCCUGUCCUCCAGCAGAACAGAUCUAGGGCUUCAAAGGGAAGGUUCGCCAAGCACCUGGAUGAAAUCCCAAGCUUCUCCACCUGCAGCCAUUAAGGACCUCCCUUGAACAUGGCAUAAUCGCUUCCCCAGAGAUGUGUAUCCUAAGCAAGCAUGGCAACAAGGACUUGGUACCCAACACAGAUUGCUUGAUUGGGGC
rnacentral:lncRNA from 1 species